GGGUAAAAUAAAAAUUACACUUAUUGACAAAUAAAGAAUGUACAAGUAAAAAUGAGAAAUUCUGUAUUCCAGGUUGUCAAAUUGUAAAACUCUGGCAAUGGAGAAAUAUAUUUCAAAUAACGGAAUGCAAAUAAAGUUAAUGCAUGCAAUUAAUCUGGAAACCUUUUUUUUCCUCAAUUUAAAUUUAUUUAAAGGCCAAAUACCCAACUCACUCAUAAGAACUCCCCUUAUCACUAUUGAUUCUCCAACACCAGGAGGGUGAAGAGUAGCACAUGUCUCCUCCAAUACAUGUGAAGUCAGACUCCGCCUCUUUUCAAAUUGCUGCUGAGUAGCAUCACAGUGCGCUUGGAGGAAAGCGCAGCGACUCGGUUCAGAUACAUCAGCUCACAGACGCCUUGUGCUGAUCGACAUCACCCUUUGAAGUGAUGUGGGAGUGACCGCUCUCUACAGACCCUGAGCUUUUCAUUACAUAAUUUCAUUGUGUCAUACGAAUAAUUUAAUUUGAUUGAAGUGUCUGAGAUUUACAGAGGUAUUAAACCCGAUAAAAGUUUGUUUUUUAGGCUUAAUAUGAAACACAUUUGCUUGCUUUAACACUCGUUCAUAACUUUGGAGACUAAGAAGGCUUUUGAGAAAUAGGAGCAUAAUUGUUGUUCUUAAAGUUGCAUUGUUCUUAUAUUUGUGUCGCUCUUAACAUUGCUUCAUUCUUAAUGUUUUGUCAUUCUUAAUGUUGUGUCGUUUUUAAAGUUACAUCUUUCCUAAUGUUGCGUGUUUUUUAACGUUGCAACGUUCCUACUAUUUUGUCGUUCUUAACGUUUGUCUUAAUGCCGUGUUGUUCUUAACACUGUGUCAUUCUUAAUGCUGUGUCAUUCUUAACACUGUGUCGUUCUCAAUGCUGUGUCAUUCUUAGCGGUGUUUUGUUUUUAACGGUGUGUCGUUCUUAACACUGUGUCAUUCUUAACGCUGUGUCGUUUUUAACAUUGUGUGGUUCUUAAGGUUGUGCUGUUCUUAAAGUUGUGUCGUUCUUAAGGUUGUGUCGUUCUUAAGGUUGUGUCUUUCUUAAGGUUGUGUCUUUCUUAAGGUUGUGCUGUUCUUAAGGUUGUGCUGUUCUUAAGGUUGUGUCGUUCUUAAGGUUGUGCCGUUCUUAAGGUUGUGCCGUUCUUAAGGUUGUGUCGUUCUUAAGGUUGUGCCGUUCUUAAGGUUGUGUCGUUCUUAAGGUUGUGCCGUUCUUAAGGUUGUGCCGUUCUUAAGGUUGUGUCUUUCUUAAGGUUGUGUCUUUCUUAAGGUUGUGCUGUUCUUAAGGUUGUGCUGUUCUUAAGGUUGUGCCGUUCUUAAGGUUGUGUCGUUCUUAAGGUUGUGCCGUUCUUAAUGUUGUGUUGUUCUUAAUGUUGUGUUGUUCUUAAUGUUGUGCCGUUCUUAAGGUUGUGUUGUUCUUAAUGUUGUGUCAUUCUUAAUCUUGCGUUGUUCCUAAUGUUGCGUCAUUCUUAACGUUGUGUCGUUCUUAACGCUGUGUCGCUUUUAACAUUGUGUGGUUCUUAACAUUGCUUCGUUCUUAACGUUGUGUCGUUCUUAAUGUUGUGUCGCUUUUAACAUUGUGUGGUUUCUUAACAUUGCUUCGUUCUUAACGUUGUGUCGUUCUUAAGGUUUUGUGGUUCUUAACAUUGUGUCGUUCUUAACGCUGCAUCGUUCUUAAGGUUGCAUUUUUCUUAGCACUGCGUCAUUCUUAAGGUUGCAUUUUUCUUAAUGUUGCGUUGUUCUUAGCAUUGCGUCGUUCCUAAGGUUGCAUUUUUCUUACCGUUGCGUUGUUCUUAACUUUGCGUCGUUCUUAGGGUUGCAUUUUUCUUAAUGUUGCGUUGUUCUUAGCAUUGCGUCGUUCCUAAGGUUGCAUUUUUCUUACCGUUGCGUUGUUCUUAACUUUGCGUUGUUGUUAAGGUUGCAUUUUUCUUAAUGUUGCGUUGUUCUUAGCAUUGCGUCGCUCCUAAGGUUGCAUUUUUCUUACCGUUGCGUUGUUCUUAACUUUGCGUCGUUCUUAGGGUUGCAUUUUUCUUAAUGUUGCGUUGUUCUUAGCGUUGCAUCAUUCUUAAGGUUGCAUUUUUCUUACCGUUGCAUCGUUCUUAAGGUUGUGUCGUUUGUAAGGUUGUGUAGAUUUUAACAUUGCUUCAUUCUUAAUGUUGCUUUGUUCUUAAUGUUAUCUCAUUCUUAAGG